rnacentral:rRNA from 1 species
CUACGGGACGCUCCAGUCGAGAAUCUUCCACAAUGGGCGAAAGCCUGAUGGAGCGACGCCGCGUGCUUGAAGAAGCCCUUCGGGGUGUAAAGAGCUUUUCUGUUUGAGAAAUCCUGUUUCGGCGGGAUGAUGUUAGAACAGGAAUAAGGGGCGGCUAACUUCGUGCCAGAAGCCUCGGUAAUACGAAGGCCCCAAGCGUUAUCCGGACUCACUGGGCGUAAAGCGUGGGUAGGCGGUUUUGAUAGUGGCUGUUUAAAUUCCGGGGCUUAACCUCGGAGCAGGCAGUCAAACGUCAAGACUAGAGCAAGUGAGAGGCUGGCGGAACUUACCAAGUAGGGGUGAAAUCCGUUGAUCUGGUAGGGAACACCAAAGGCGAAGGCAGCCAGCUGGUGCUUAGCUGACGCUGAGCCACGAAAGCGUGGGGAGUGAACGGGAUUAGAUACCCGUGUAGUC